ACAUCUGGACCCCUAUAUACUCAGUGGAAAGAUUCAAGCUUCCAAAAGACAAUAUAUUACACCUUCCUAAAGACCAAUUUUAAGAGAAGAAGAAGUGCUGUGUUCAGGCUCUGAUGGCUUACCCUGGAAAAUUAAUGUUUAGACAGCUUGAGUUAACACAGAGAGAUAAAUAUCUGACUCGACACAGCGUAGCACAAGACAACACGUGGAAGACACUCUCCUGGUUCCUCAUACCCUCCUACAUUGGUGACAUGGCAAGCUACCUAUGUGCAGAGGCUGGCAAAAUACGUGGUGUGCUUCCAAGCACCUCCCCUGUUCAGAGGACCAGGACCCUGCUGUGGGCAUACAUCCAUAUAUCACAGUUUACACGAAGCCUAAGCAGAUGUGCAGGUUUUGACUGGGAUAAAGUUAAUUUUCUUCAUAGUAGCUGGUGUGGGGCUACAUUUUGGAUUUGUGCUGAAAACAGUGUUGAUAAUUGAGGGAUGUUUUAGUUACUGCUGAGCAGUGCUUACACAGAGUCAAGGCCUUUUCUGAUCCUCACAUCACCCCACCAGCGAGCAGGCUGGGGCUGCACAAGGAGCUGGGAGGUGACACAGCUGGAAAGCUGACCCCAGCUAACCCAAGAGAUUUGCCAUACCAUAUGAUGUCAUACUCAGCAUGUAAAGGUAGGGGAAGAAGAAGGAAGGGGGGAUGUUGGAAGUGAUGGUGUGUGUCUUUCCGAGUAACCAUUACAUGUGGUGAAGUCCUGCUCUCCUGUGAAUGGCUAAACACCUACCUUCCUGUGGUGGGAAGUGGCGAAUUAAUUCCUUGUUUUGCUUUGCUUGGAUGUGUGGCUUUUGCUUUACCUGUUAAACUGUCUUUAUCUCUA